rnacentral:rRNA from 1 species
UAAGGAAUAUUGGACAAUGGGCGAAAGCCUGAUCCAGCCAUGCCGCGUGGUGGAUGACAGCCCUCUGGGUUGUAAACACCUUUUAUCUGGGAAUAACGUGGUUCUAUACGAACCAUUGCAGGUACCAGAGGAAUAAGCACCGGCUAACUACGUG